CCGGCGCACGGGUGAGUAACGCGUAUGCGACCUGCCCGUUGCAGGGGGGAUAAUCGGGAGAAAUCCCGUCUAAUACCGCGUAACGCCGCGGAGCUGCAUGGCCCUGCGGCCAAAGGGAGCGAUUCCGGCAACGGAUGGGCAUGCGUGACAUUAGCUAGUUGGCGGGGCAACGGCCCACCAAGGCGACGAUGUCUAGGGGUUCUGAGAGGAAGGUCCCCCACACUGGUACUGAGACACGGACCAGACUCCUACGGAAGGCAGCAG
rnacentral:rRNA from 1 species